rnacentral:rRNA from 1 species
GAGCUUGCUCUGAUUUGAUUUUAUCUGACAAAGAGUGGCGAACGGGUGAGUAACACGUGGGUAACCUACCUCUUAGCAGGGGAUAACAUUUGGAAACAAGUGCUAAUACCGUAUAAUACCAACAACCGCAUGGUUGUUGGUUGAAAGAUGGUUCUGCUAUCACUAAGAGAUGGACCCGCGGUGCAUUAGCUAGUUGGUAAGGUAACGGCUUACCAAGGCAAUGAUGCAUAGCCGAGUUGAGAGACUGAUCGGCCACAAUGGGACUGAGACACGGCCCAUACUCCUACGGGAGGCAGCAGUAGGGAAUCUUCCACAAUGGGCGCAAGCCUGAUGGAGCAACGCCGCGUGUGUGAUGAAGGGUUUCGGCUCGUAAAACACUGUUAUAAGAGAAGAACGGCACUGAGAGUAACUGUUCAGUGUGUGACGGUAUCUUACCAGAAAGGAACGGCUAAAUACGUGCCAGCAGCCGCGGUAAUACGUAUGUUCCAAGCGUUAUCCGGAUUUAUUGGGCGUAAAGCGAGCGCAGACGGUUAUUUAAGUCUGAAGUGAAAGCCCUCAGCUCAACUGAGGAAUGGCUUUGGAAACUGGAUGACUUGAGUGCAGUAGAGGAAAGUGGAACUCCAUGUGUAGCGGUGAAAUG